rnacentral:rRNA from 1 species
AGAGCGAACGCUGGCGGCAGGCUUAACACAUGCAAGUCGAGCGGGCGUAGCAAUACGUCAGCGGCAGACGGGUGAGUAACGCGUGGGAACGUACCUUUUGGUUCGGAACAACCCAGGGAAACUUGGGCUAAUACCGGAUAAGCCCUUACGGGGAAAGAUUUAUCGCCGAAAGAUCGGCCCGCGUCUAAUUAGCUAGUUGGUGAGGUAAUGGCUCACCAAGGCGACGAUCAGUAGCUGGUCUGAGAGGAUGAUCAGCCACAUUGGGACUGAGACACGGCCCAAACUCCUACGGGAGGCAGCAGUGGGGAAUAUUGGACAAUGGGCGCAAGCCUGAUCCAGCCAUGCCGCGUGAGUGAUGAAGGCCCUAGGGUUGUAAAGCUCUUUUGUGCGGGAAGAUAAUGACGGUACCGCAAGAAUAAGCCCGGCUAACUUCGCGCCAGCAGCCGC